CUCUCUGGUGUAGAACUUGACUGCGAAGCCACGAGGGUCUCUCAAGGUCUCGGGACUUCCACGCUCAUGGAUGACAGUGGAGAAACGCACAAUGACUGGAGUCUGAACACCUGGAGCUCUGAGGAAGUCAGCACAAGUGAGGUUAGAUAUAUCAUGAGUGACCUCGAAGAAACCCUUUGCACUGGCUCCUCUUGCGUGAACCACGCGCUCUGGAAUACGCUCCCUGUCGAAGUUAGCAAGCUUCUCAACGAGAUGGUAGUCCUCAAGAAGGAUAGGACCUGCCAAAACCCAUCACAAGUGUAACACUUAACAUUCACAUCCAUAGUACACAUACUCAUGAACGAAACGAUAUCGUUUUGAGAAGAAAGAUAUACCUCUGGGUCCAACGGUCAUGGAGGAGUUGUUGUUCCAUACAGGAGCACCAGAGUUGGUGGUGAAGAACGGAGAGUUGUAAGAACUCGCUGGACGAUACUGCAAUCAUAAAAAGAUCAAAUUCAUCAUCAAAGGGAUCAAGAUUCACAGAUUCGACUAGAAGAAAGUCAAGAUCCGACAUAAACACCAAUCAAACAGUUCCAAAAGCUACAAAUCCGGGUGCAAUAACAAAGCUAUGAAACCAGUUUCUAUAGAAGACGAAUAGGUGAGAGAUGAAGGAGAGUCGUACCUUGUAGGGAUCCAUGGUUGAUGAGAUGAGAGUUGAGAAAGAGAGAGAGAGAGAGACUUCCAGAGAUUUAACAAAACGAGGAGAUGGUGAUGAAGAUAAUUAUAAUAUUCGCUUCGCCUAUUUAUAAAUGGCUUCUGUCUUUAUGCCUUUGCGCUUUCGAGCCUUUUUUUAUAAUUUGGGGGGAAUUUUAAAGGUUAUCGUUUUUUCUUAUAUUUGUUUUUAUUUUCUUCAGAUAAAUGUUUGGAAACCAAGUAUUACAAAAGUCAUUUAUUGUGGCGAUAAAUUCAGGAAUAUAUAAUGUUUUUCUUAAACUAUCCACCACACAUAUAUAAGAAAAUGACUGAGGCAAUUGUUAUUCAAGUAUGGAUUAUUUUAUACCUUUUUUGUGCAACCAGAUAUAUUAAGAUGGGCUCUAAGAUUAUUUAUACCUUAUAUAUAUAUAUAUAUUAAUUAAUGGGAUACGUGACAAUAUUAGAUCCGAUAGAAAUGGUUACACUUUUGAUUAACAUCACAUUUUCAAGUUUAGCAUAAUCUCUUUUCUUUGAAGGUGGAAGAAUGCUCAAAUAAAGUCAACUCUUCAAAACAGGAGAAAACUUAUCUUAGAGUUUAAACUAUUAUAUACUAUAUAAAUCGAAGAUGUAAACAUGGCUGUGUUUUAUUUUGUUGCUUCAAAAAAAAAAGAACAGUGAGUACCUCUCUGGUGUAAAGGAACGGUAUCUCUCUCCAGGCUCCUUGAAGUUGUUCUCUUUCUCAAUAAUACACUGCAAAACAUAUUUUUAACUUUUAGAUCAUAUGUUUCUUACAAGGAAACUGAAAGAGAGAGCUCAUUUGAUUACUGACCCUCUCACGCUUUCCAGAGCAGACAGCAGGUGGAGUUGGAUACUUCUCUGCAUGGCGAACCGGGUCAUACCUCGAAGGGAAGUAGUUAACCUGCACCAAACCACCUCUUGUAAGAAAACGAUAUUCUAGCUUGAACGUUCAUUUCAAAAAAAAACAUUACCUCCUCGUCCCUGUGCAUGAAAUUCAUGAAGCCUUCAUGGUGGUUGUUGUGGUGAGCACACUUUGGAGCAUUAACUGGUAGCUGGAGGUAGUUAGGUCCAAGACGGUGUCUCUGGGUGUCAGCAUAGGAGAAGACACGUGUCUGAAGCAGCUUAUCGUCAGAGUAGUGUAUCCCCGGAACAAUGAUAGCAGGACAGAAGGCAAGCUGCUCAUUCUCCGCAAAGAAGUUAUCAAUGUUCUUGUUCAACACCAUACGCCCAACGGGCUGGAGAGGCAAGAUAUCUUCAGGCCAGGUCUUGGUGACAUCGAGAGGGUCAAAGUCGAACUUGUCUUCAUCAGCUGGAUCGAUUAUCUGAACAAAGAGCUUCCACUCAGGGUAGUUACCAGCAGCAAUGGAGUCGUAUAAGUCCUGAGUUGCGUGGCUGUGGUUGGUUCCACCAACGCGGAUUGCAUCUUCUUCUAGUAGAGACUUCACUCCACAAGUUGGUUUCCAGUGGAACUUCACGUAGUGAGCUUUGCCGGAUUUGUUGAUCAACAUGUAUGUGUUGACACCUGAGCCUUCCAUGUGUCUGUAGUCUUGUGGGAUACCGAUGUCGUCGAAGAGGAAAGUGAACAUGUUGAGGCUUUCAGGGUGGUGGGAGAAGAAGUCAAGGACUCUCCAGUUCUCUUGGAUGUGAGAUUUGGGGUUUGGUUUGAGAGCGUGGACCAUGUCAGGGAACUUCAUCCCGUCGCGGAUGAAGAAGACAGGGAAGUUGUUUCCGACAAGAUCAAAGUUUCCCUGCUCAAAAAGAAUAUGAUCAUUUGCUUUAGCAUAUAUGAACAUGGCUGGUUCUGAGCAUAGGCUAAUUAAUGCUAAACAUUGGUUUAUGUCCUAAAAAACUUAAAAACAUUUACAUAUUUAUUUACAAGUCUCCAAAUUUGUUAAAAAAAAUUUAUAAUUUUUUAUUAAACGAACUAUAGCCGUAUAUAAAUAUUUAUUAAAUUAUCUAUAGCCCCCAUAAUUUUGAGUAGUGACUUGCCUCUCUGGUGUAGAACUUGACUGCGAAGCCACGAGGGUCUCUCAAGGUCUCGGGACUUCCACGCUCAUGGAUGACAGUGGAGAAACGCACAAUGACUGGAGUCUGAACACCUGGAGCUCUGAGGAAGUCAGCACAAGUGAGGUUAGAUAUAUCAUGAGUGACCUCGAAGAAACCCUUUGCACUGGCUCCUCUUGCGUGAACCACGCGCUCUGGAAUACGCUCCCUGUCGAAGUUAGCAAGCUUCUCAACGAGAUGGUAGUCCUCAAGAAGGA
rnacentral:lncRNA from 1 species